CAGCCGCCACGGGAAUACGAAGGGGGCUAGCGUUGCUCGGAAUUACUGGGCGUAAAGCGCACGUAGGCGGCUUGGUAAGUUAGAGGUGAAAGCCCGGAGCUCAACUCCGGAAUUGCCUUUAAGACUGCCGAGCUAGCAGGUGAGAGAGGUAAGUGGAAUUCCGAGUGUAGAGGUGAAAUUCGUAGAUAUUCGGAAGAACACCAGUGGCGAAGGCGGCUUACUGGCUCAUACUGGACGCUGAGGUGCGAAAGCGUGGGGAGCAAACAGGAUUAGAUACCCCAGUAGUCCCUGUCUCUUAUAC
rnacentral:rRNA from 1 species